UGGGGAAUAUUGGGCAAUGGACGCAAGUCUGACCCAGCAACGCCGCGUGAAGGAAGAAGGCUUUCGGGUUGUAAACUUCUUUGACAGGGGAAGAGCAGAAGACGGUACCCUGAAAACAAGCCACGGCUAACUACGUGCCGGCAGCCGCGGUAAUACGUAGGUGGCAAGCGUUGUCCGGAUUUACUGGGUGUAAAGGGCGUGUAGCCGGGUCGGCAAGUCAGAUGUGAAAUCUGGAGGCUCAACCUCCAAACUGCACUUGAAACUGUUGAUCUUGAGUAUCGGAGAGGUAACCGGAAUUCCUUGUGUAGCGGUGAAAUGCGUAGAUAUAAGGAAGAACACCAGUGGCGAAGGCGGAUGACUGGACGACAACUGACGGUGAGGCGCGAAAGCGUGGGGAGCGAACAGGAUUAGAUACCCUGGUAGU
rnacentral:rRNA from 1 species